rnacentral:rRNA from 1 species
GGUGUAGGUGACUGGUACUAAUAGGCCGAGGACUUACCAACAAAGAAGCUACGCGUCCACUGUGCAGUAUCUGAAACAACACACGAAACCCGUGUCCACGGGUUCAGGGGCUCGCCCCUGUUUGUCACUGUGUGGGGUUUCAGGGGCCGCAGGUCCCUGAACAAUCCCUCUGGUGAACCUGGGACAUGAGGUGUGUGACAGUUUCAUAGAGUUACGGCGGCCAUAGCGGCAGGGAAACGCCCGGUCCCAUUCCGAACCCGGAAGCUAAGCCUGCCAGCGCCGAUGGUACUGCACUCGACAGGGUGUGGGAGAGUAGGACACCGCCGGAA